rnacentral:tRNA from 1 species
GUUUAGCUCAGCGGGAGAGCGCUUCCCUGACACGGAAGAGGUCACUGGUUCAAUCCCAGUAUC